UUAGCCUUCGUGUACGUACUUUUGUGGUAAAUUAUUGUUUUAAAAUUGCGUCUGCUUCAAAAGGCGCGUUAUCGUUGGUUUAUGGGACAACAGAAACGAGUUAUCAACAUACGUUCUAGUCUAGACAAUUGCUGUGACAUUACACUGCACAUAAAAUUCAUAUUUAUUAAUUCUACAUAUUCAAUCUUUUUUCUUUUGGAAUAAAAUCUUGAAAUGGACCAGUUUUGGCGCGGUGUGGGCAAUAACUUUCACUCGAUUUCGGAGACAGAGCCGUAUUAUCCCUAAGGCGCCAGGAACAACGACGGCACCAAAAAUAUUAAGGAAGGCGCCCUUGUGCUAGG